GUACUCUCACACUCUCCGGUCCUUUGGAUUUGGGGAGUGGUGGACUUGGGUGCUUGCUGCUUUCCUUGUGGCUCACCUCAAAUGUGUUAGUGCAUCUCUUGAUUGGACAUAGUACGGCGUGAUAAGUGUCUUCGCCGGCACCUCACUAGAGGGUGGCCAAUUGGGAGCUCUGUGCUUUCAAACCGUCUUCGGACAACUUCUGACA
rnacentral:misc_RNA from 1 species